UACGUAGGGUGCAAGCGUUGUCCGGAAUUAUUGGGCGUAAAGAGCUCGUAGGCGGUUUGUCGCGUCGGCUGUGAAAACCUGGGGCUCAACCCCGGGCCUGCAGCCGAUACGGGCAAACUAGAAUUCGGUAGGGGAGACUGGAAUUCCUGGUGUAGCGGUGAAAUGCGCAGAUAUCAGGAGGAACGCCGGUGGCGAAGGCGGGUCUCUGGGCCAAUACUGACGCUCAUGCACGAAAGCGUGGGGAGCAAACAGG
rnacentral:rRNA from 1 species